UGCCGUAAGAUUUUCCCAACUGACUGAAUCAAGUGCUCAGUUUCCCGUUCUAUUGCCAGGUCUUUGUCCGAGCUGGUCAAUGGAUCAACACUAAUGAUGUUGGAGCCAGCCUCAGCAGAACCACUGCUAUCCCUCAAAGCAUCGCAUUCAGAAUGGCUAGUUGCAGUCCGUAAUUCCAACUCUUGCAACAUCCUCUCCAGUAAUUCGACAUCGAUUCGCUUCUUUUUCGUCAUAUCCAACACCUUCUGUACUGCUUCCAGUGCCUUCAAUGAAGAAACUAAUCAAAUUCACCUUUUCCAUAAGCAAAUAAAACUUCAGUGAUGGCAGCACUAACAUUGUGCUGAAUAUGUUACAUUAAAAACAAGAGAAGUUCCUUGUUAGAGUAUUUGAGAUAUUAGGAAUUUGAGAUGGAUGUGUGGGCACACUAGGAGCGACAAGAUUAGGAAUGAGGUUAUCCGGGAGAAGGUGGGAGUGGCCUCUGUGGUGGACAAGCUGAGGGAAGCGAGACUGAGAUGGUUUGGACAUGUGAAGAGACGGAGCGCAGACGCCCCAGUGAGGAGGUGCGAGGAAAUGGUGGUAGAGGGUACGCGGAGGGGUAGAGGUAGGCCCAAGAAGUAUUGGGAGGAGGUGAUUAGACAAAGAGUACAGAAAAAAAACAAAAGACAAGGAAAGUUGUCAAUCAACAUUUAUGGUUUACCUGCCGUAAGAUUUUCCCAACUGACUGAAUCAAGUGCUCAGUUUCCCGUUCUAUUGCCAGGUCUUUGUCCGAGCUGGUCAAUGGAUCAACACUAAUGAUGUUGGAGCCAGCCUCAGCAGAACCACUGCUAUCCCUCAAAGCAUCGCAUUCAGAAUGGCUAGUUGCAGUCCGUAAUUCCAACUCUUGCAACAUCCUCUCCAGUAAUUCGACAUCGAUUCGCUUCUUUUUCGUCAUAUCCAACACCUUCUGUACUGCUUCCAGUGCCUUCAAUGAAGAAACUAAUCAAAUUCACCUUUUCCAUAAGCAAAUAAAACUUCAG
rnacentral:lncRNA from 1 species